GAAGAGGAAGGCGCCGAUCAGCUGUUCCGGCCGCGUGACAGGCACUCAGGCAGCAGGGCGGGGAGCUACAUUUACUCCUCCACCGAGUGUUUUCAAGUACUCUUCCACCACUCCUCUACACCAGCUCACCUGUAUACCACAUAACUAUACCACCUGGAAGCCUCUAAUUAUGCCUGAGGUAACCCCGGAGACCAUUAAAUAAACGUAAAAAGGGUCAAAAUAUGAAGCCACUGCGGGUCAACAACAUACCAAAAACCGGGGACAUGCUUCUCAUUUUUCCUUACUUCUUCACCUAAUUACCUUUGCAAGCUUAAUCACCAGGUGGGAAAAUAUGCAUUACUAAAUUAUCCAGUUACUGUUACUCCACUAAUGCCUCUUCCACUCCCUCACAUAUCCCAUUACAUUGUGCUUACUACCCUCAUUUGCAUCCCCUUUUUUUCCAUUAUUAUUUGCUCCAUCUCCUACUGUAUACUUUUUUCUCAUACCUUUGAUUUUUUUUUCUUCUAAACUUUCCUCUUUUCCCACAAAACUGACUAGUAUGUCACUGUUUUGUUUGCUUUAUGAGCUUUAUUAGACACCCUUGAUUUUAUACAUGUUAUACUAGUCAGUCUUUCUCAACAGUUUAUUUGGUGUCAAUGCCCAUAGCAUUUGCAGUGCCAUAAACCUAUACCCCAAUCAGUCAGUUAACCUUUUAACCCAUUUUUUAUCA